UGGGUGGAGAUGUUUCCAACUUGCAGAUGCCAGCAGAUAAUCAGGCGGCAGGGCCAUCA
rnacentral:ribozyme from 1 species